UACGUAGGGUGCGAGCGUUGUUCGGAUUCAUUGGGCGUAAAGGGUGUGUAGGUGGCGCGCUAAGUCGGGUGUGAAAUUUCGGAGCUUAACUCCGAAACUGCAUUCGAUACUGGCGUGCUUGAGGACUGGAGAGGAGACUGGAAUUCAUGGUGUAGCAGUGAAAUGCGUAGAGAUCAUGAGGAAGACCAGUGGCGAAGGCGGGUCUCUGGACAGUUCCUGACACUGAGACACGAAGGCCAGGGGAGCAAACGGG
rnacentral:rRNA from 1 species